AACUAAGUUUGUUAUUGGUAUGAGCUUUCGUGUGCAUGCACACUUCUUCAGAUACACAUGUGCAUGCACAUGAAAGCUCAUACCAAUAACAAACUUAGUUGG